CCCUUAGAUGUUCUGGGCUGCACGCGCGCUACACUGGUGCGUUCAGCGAGUUUAGCACCUUAACAGAUAUGUUUGGGUAAUCUUCUGAAAACGCACCGUGAUGGGGAUCGAUUAUUGUAAUUAUUAAUCGUCAACGAGGAAUUCCUAGUAAGUGUGAAUCAUCAGUUCGCGCUGAUUACGUCCCUGCCCUUUGUACACACCGCCCGUCGCUGCUACCGAUUGAGUGGUCCGGUGAAUUAUUCGGACCGGUGGACUGUGGGGAAACCCGCGGCCUGCUGGGAAGUCUUGUGAACCUUAUCAUUUAGAGGAAGGAGAAGUCGUAACA
rnacentral:rRNA from 1 species